GAGAUGAUUCUACUUUUCAGCUGGAGAACUUAGCAAUAAGUUGUGGUAAGGAGAUAAAAAUUCCUAAGCAAUGGCUACUUCAAUUAGAUAAUCUGGAAAGCUUGUCACUGCAUCGCUGUUGGUCAGAUGAGCUGAAAUCUCUACGUUUCCAGAGAUUGAAGAAACUCACACUUGGUCAACUUAGUUGCUUCACUGUUUUCUCAUUCCCAGACUUUGAAAGACUUCAACAGCUCAGAGAAUUACGAAUAGCACAUUGUGAUUCAUUGGAACAUAUCGUGGAGGUUGUUAAUGGUGAAGAAGCUUCUGGCAUGGAUACGGAGACUGCUGCACUAGUUCAGCUGGUAAAAGUCUAUCUUGAGGGUUUGCCAAAACUCAGAAGUUUUACACACACAAAGUCUAAGAAUCUUAUGGCCAGUUUAGAGCAGGUGGAAGUGGAGCCCUCGAUUCUUUUCAGGUGCCCUGUCGUUGGAAAUCUCCAACAGCUCAGAUGGUUAGACGUGACUGAUUGCAGAUUGUUGGAAGGCAUUGUGGAGGUUGCAAGAGGCUAUCAGACUUCUCACAGGAAUGACCACAUUAUCACAUUCCCUCAGCUCUAUUCCAUUAAACUUAGAAAUUUGCCCAACCUCCAAAAUUUCAGUCCCACUAAAAGCUAUAGUUUCAAGAUGCCCAAAUUAACAGGUUUCGGUCUGUUCUAUUGUCCCCGGAUGGAGAAUAAACCCUUCAUGCAAAUAAUCGCAGAAAGGGUACAUUUUUCUUCCGAGGAGCGUCGACGACUGAUAAUAGUUGAAAACCUCAAGGACUACACACUUAGAAAAAUAAACAAGCUCGAAAGCGUGGGGGAAUCAAGUAACAGCAAUCAGGAUGUGGAAACAGAAACAAUGAGAGUUGAACAAGCGGAAGCCAUAGUUGUUCAACAACGGGAAGAGGGAGUUGGUGCAGAAGAAGACGACUUUUUCUUCUUAAGAAAGUCUCAGACUUCAUUGUUUUUCAUUUUGUUUUUGUUUUUGGUUUUGGUUUUGUGUUUGAAGGAGGUCUGAGCGUCUGACACUGAAUUGUAAGUUGUGAAAAGCGACAACUGAGGAUGCGGGCUGAUUGGAGGCCCAGUUCCAGUAAUACAAUUUCAGGUCCAAUAUCUAUGGCCUGCAUAAUUUUUAAGAGUUAAGUUCCAUGUAGUAUAUUUAUGUAGUACUGUAGGCCACGUAUAUUCUGCAACUAUAAAAUGACAUAAAAACAUUGCAAAAUAUAUGAAACUUGUUAUUUUGUGAAAUACAUUCUAUAAAUAUCACUAUUUCAUGAAAAAUAUUGAAAAUCAUUUAUGUUCGACAAGUAUAACACAUAUGUUCAGUAAUAUGUAAAUAUGUUCUGCAAACCUAACAUGUGUUGCAGAAUAAUGUGUUUUUCACUAUUUAACUUGUGGAAUGUUUAAGAUUGUCAAAAAUUUUAACAAAAUAAUGAUAUUUAUAGAACAUGAUUUGCAAAAUAACACAGUUUGCAAUGUUUUUAUGUCAUUUUAUAGUUGCAGAACAUACGUGGUCUACGGUACUACAGUAAAUAUGUGGAUUACAUGGAACUUUGUUCUAAUUUUUAAUGUAUAUAUUAAUUUCAAAGCACUUCAUCCAAAUUAUGUAUACACACAAUAUAUAUUACAUUUUAUUAUUUAUUUUAUUGAUCUGUUAAUUAGAACCUAUAACCUAGACUGCAAUCGUCAACCUUCAAUUUUGAUUAUUUUUCUGCCAAAAAAAUAAAUUUUAUCAAGUUCAAAAUUUGUCAACUUUUAUCAUGGCGAUACUAAAUACUCCCUCCGUCCCAAAUUAAUUGUCCAGUUUGACUUUUUGAUGGUCAAUUUGACCCAACUUUGAUUGGAAAUUAAAAAUUAUCCUUUUACAAUUUUACAAAACUGAAAAAUAUAUUCAAAAAUAGAUUUGAUAAUCUUUUCAAUGAUAUAUAUUUCAUAAUUUUAUUCAAUUAUUUAAUAUACAUAUUUUUCAGUCAAAGUUGAGUCAAAUUGACCAUCGAAAAGUCAAACUGGACAGUUAAUUUGGGACGGAGGGAGUAGAUAUUAAGCAGUUUCUUGAUUUGAUUAUGCCUAUAAAUUAUUUGUUUUUUCAUUUAAUGAUUCCUUCCGUUAAUUAGAGGCUUUAAUUUAGAAUGUAUUAUUAAAUUUUUAUUUCUCAAAUAUUUCUUAAAUAAACAAUUGAAUAAUGUUUUUUUUGAGAGAAUUGAAUAAUGUUAUGUAUCCCAAAUUUUAUUCUCAAAAUUUUUAUCAAGUGGAGAAGAACCAAUCAAACAGAAUUUGGAAACACUUUUUCAAAUACCUAAUAUUUUCCAGUUUCAAAAAAAAUACCUAAUAUUUCCUAAAUAAUUUAUGGGCCAAUAUACCUCUUUUUAACAUUUUUAUUGCAAUAAUACAAUUUUCUCCCAAAAAUUGCAUAUUUACUUUUUUUUUUUAAAAAAGCUACAAAGUAUUUGCAUAUAUACGACUAUGACUAUGAACUGCUUCCUGGAGUAAGUGAGAGAGAGAAACAAGCGAACCCGUUCUUUGUUCUUGCCUCACCCUUCCUCCUCUGUGGCUCAUUUUGAUCUGUCUCUCUCUUUAAUUCCCUCUCUCUUCUGCCUCCAUCUCUCCUCGCUCUCUCUAUCUUUUUCUUCGAUCCAUUGAUUAUGUCAGCCGUACAUUCUCCGAUCACGAAGCCCUAGGUACUCAUAGGGAGUACAAUCUUAGUGGUGUUCUUGAUGAUUGUUGGAUCGGUGAUUAUAGCGGAUACACACAAGAUGACUUUAAAAGAAGGGAGAAACGUCGAAGUAGAAACUCCUAAACAUGGCUGCUGAUGUUGAUUUUAUGUGAAUAUAUUUUUGUUUUUUGUUAUGCUUCAUCUCUGUAGAAGUUUUGGUUAGCGCUGGUUACUUGUGGUUGCAAAACUUGUUGAUUCUUUUGGCCCCGCAGGGGCAUUUAUUUUUCUGUCUUUGCAACUAGUUGCAACUUAUUAUGCAACCUAAUAUAAUUUUAGCAUUUUUUAAAAAAAAAGUUACAUAUGUAGUUGAAAGUAUGGUUGCUCGCAGUUGCAGAUUUGGUUACAUAUGCAAAAUCGUAUUUUUGCAAAAAAAAAUUGAAUGAUAGAGUUUUUUUUAUUUUAAAAAAUGAUAGUAUUUUUGCAAAAUUUCUUUUUGACUUGGGUAUUUAUUAAAAAAACCCAUAAUUUAUUCCUAUAAAUAAAGAAUGUCAAACACAUAAAUAUUUAAUUCUCAGGUAGCAAAGAAAGGUUACUCGCAAUUAUUUAGGAGCCCAAACUAAACCAAGGCACAAUUGACAAUACCAAACAGCAAAGAACACGCUCCCAAACAUAAAAGCGCAAAGGAGCAAAUAGCAAUUCAAGAUCAUAUUGUACUCCAACCAUUGACUAGCUAGUCAGACAAAAACUAUCUAAACUUCAACCAAUAUACAGUAUACUUGGGACAUAAACAUCCACUUAACAAGAUCAAAAAGGUCCUGGUUGAUAUUACUCCUCUUUCUCGACUCUCGAGGAAGUUGGGGUUCGAGUUAGGGUGAUUCCAUGUUUCCAUUGUUGUUACUCCAUUAACCAUUGAUGCAAAGCUGAAGCUGUGGUAUUGCUGAAUUUAUUACAUUAAAUACUAGUCAGUAUUUACUGUAUGCCUUAACAUGGCUUGAUGCAAUCAAAUAAACGAAAUCCUUGCAACACAAACGAAUUCAGUGAUACAAAACCAUAGCUACUAAUAUAUGGGCAAGGCAGACAAAAAUAGAUGCUACAAACAGUUGGAAUACGUCGGUUCUUUAUGAACUACCUAAACCAAUGACUAAUUGUGCAGUCGCAUAAAAACUGAAACCGCGUCAUUCAAACACAACUGGUGCCAACUCCUACCAGAGAUAAAACAUGAUAUAUCUAUAUUAAUGAGCUCAUGAUGCAACUAUUUAGUAGUUCCCGAGCUAUAUUGUUUUGAGAUGCACAAUAUUAUUGUAAGAGCUUAGCUGGAUUUCAUAAAGAUCUGCACGUUGAGCCACAGUACAACUUACCAAGCUCUCAAUUUCUUCGUGCAAUGCUGAUUAGCCCAAGGAUGUUCUUUCAAAUUUUUUAAACCAUCUAGUUUCACUGAUGAAUGAUGAUAGAAUAUGGAAACAACUUCUUGUAUUGGUUUGGGCCGAAGCCCAGGAUCGCUGUACCUGAUCCAGAUCUUAUUAGAGAGGUUUUGAUGAAUUCCUUAGGCCGAGUUGUUGCUUGGAGAUGGACUUGUUGGAUAUAUUGACCGGUGAGAAAUGGCCUGUUCUGUAUUCUUUUUUAAGAUUGCAUAGUGGCUUGUUUUUAUGGUGUGUGUGUGUGUGAGAAGUGUGUGUUCUGUUUUAAUGUCAACACUCCUAAAGUACCAGAGCCCAGGUUAGAAUUCAGUACUUAGUUCAGGGAGAUGGAUUUCCAGACUCUGGAGCUAAAUGACAAUCAGCUAGGCAGUUUCUGAAACAGUUUCCUGUAGUUCUAAUCUAGUUAUGUGGCAUAGAGGGCAACUAUUGCCUGUGAUCUCACUUGAUCACAAGUCUAUUUUAAGAAGGGGAGCUAUGUUAUAUUUUCAUUUAUAUUUUAUGUAUGUCAUGUCAACUCUUACAAUUUUGCUGGAUAAUUAAUUAAGUACUCCCUCCGUCCUUUUUUACAUGUCCAUUUUGAUUUUUGACCAGUCAAAUUAACUAUAUUUUGACUGAACUUUACACGUAUUAGAUAAUUGGAAAAAUUAAUAAAAAUUAUAUUACUAGAAAGUAUAUUUAAUCUAUUUUAAUAUGCAACUUUCAGAUUAUAAAAAUAACGAGUAGAUAAUUUGUAAUGUUUAGUCAAAAAUUGGUGAAUUUGGCUUCUCGAAAAGCAAAAUAGACAUGUAAAAGGGGACGGAGGGAGUAUUUAUUUGCAUCUCGGUUUAGUUGGAUCGCCAUCAAUAGAAUUUAUUUUAUACUUCUUCCGUUUCAAAGUAAGUGCCGUUUUAAUUUUUGUCACGUGACUUGAGGUGGAAUAUUUAUUUCGUUUACCAAAGACUUUGACCUUUCACCCAUGCAUACCGGGUAGUUGUUGUUGACCGUUCUUAUAAAAAAUAAAAUAUCAACAUUGUCACCUCUAUUUUUGAUUUUUUUAUUUAUUUCUGACCUAUGAUCGGUAUCUUAGUAUUUUAAAUUUCACGUGUAUCAUUGUAUCUUAUUUGCAAUUUAAAUAAAUAAAUUAGUUAAUUAUUGAAACCUCAUUUUUUUUUGCACUUUGGACAUCUAUAAUGAUUUACUACUUAAAAGUUGCAAUCAUAAACUAUUUGAAUAAAUUGAAUUUUAAAAAUCCAGAAAGUAUUUUAAAGAAUAUUCUUCAUUAUACUUUGUACUAUCAAUUUUUUUAGUAAACUUUUUAUGUGAUAUCCUUACCAUUGAAGUAUGACUAAUAUUAAUUAGUAUAUUAAAUUUGAAAUACAAUAAUAUCACCGAAAAAUUUAAUGAAUAAAAAAUGAUAAGAAAGUCAGAGGCAGAAGGAGUUUUCUUUAAGAAAAUUUAAUCCUCUUGUGCAUGACUUUAAAUCUUCAUAUAUCACGUAAAUUCGACAUGUUUGAGCGACACAAAUAACAUGCAUCGAGCACGAUUGGAUAGCUCAAGUGGUGGGUUUAUCCUCUGUUGUCCCGGAGACCCGAGUUCGACUCUGCCUCAUCCGAACAGUAUUAGAACGGAUACUCAUUUGUAAGGCAUAUAAGAUUCUAUUAUCAAAAAAAGUAAAAAAUAAAAAAAAUUAACAUGCAUCAUUGCCAGUCGCCCUGAGUGAGGGAUGCGGUUGUUAUUCUUUGUGAAUCAUAUACGUAAGCUUUUAGUUUCUUCUUUGUCAAAUUGAUUUCAGUUUUUCUUAAUGUUAUUGAUUUUCUUUUUAUUGUUUUGAUUUUUUCAAUAUGUUAAAUGAGUUCUCUACUUCUCUUGCCUUUUUAUCAUGUUAAAAUGAUUUUUUCAAUAUAUUAAAAUGAGUUCUCUUGUGCACUUUAGCGUCGGUUAGAAAAACCGACGCAAUAGAGACUACUCUAUAGCGUCGGGUUCAUAUACUGCGCUGGACUGCCGACGCUAAAGGUCUUAUUUGACUUAGGCAUUUUUGUACUAGUGUAAAAUAAUAAAAAGUAAAAUGAUUAUUCUACUUUCCUCAGCUUUCCACAAAUGGGGACAUUUUUUUAGUAAUACGAAAAACUCAUUUCCAAAUAUAUAUAUUUCAAAUGGACAUAAUAUCGGUUGUCAUUUUAAAUUUUCUAACUUAUUCAAACAAUAUAAUAUUCGUGAAAAUAGUAUACUAGCAUUUGGAUUGUCAUUUGAGAUUUUAAAUUAAGAUUAAAUUCCUCAUUUCUUACCUAACAUAUCAUGCAUCUGGCUAAAUAUAUAAUUUGGAACAAACUGUAAUUUCCAAAUAAGUACUAGAAUUUCUUUCUUUAUUUUCUUUCCAAACUUUUAUCGAUGAUUUUGUCUGCCCUCUCCGUCAAAUUGAUUUCUUUCUUUCCUUUUAUCUCAGGUUAAAGAUUGACCUUCUCAUGUGAAAUACUUACAGUAUGUUACUAUGUUAGUAUUGAACUGAUUUCGUAACAAGUGAAAUUUCUUUUUGUGUUUACAAUAAUAUUUGAUAAUUUAGCACUGAGAAAAUGUUUUAUCACAUGUGGUGAUAGGACUCGUAUUAAAAUAUUAAAUUAAAUAUCUGAAAGUAACUUGUCCAAAAGUCAAUCUUUCUAUAGGCCAAUCAAAUACAAACAAGUGACACCGACUAUAUGUGCUUGUUGGUGACAGUCUUUCUGUGAUAAUUACACCUUUCCUACUACCAUUAGUCACAUUGACGACUAUAUAUGAAGGUAUCAGAGAUGACUGUUGAAUGGAGGUUGUUUUUUUUUCAUAGCAAAAGACGUUAGAGCAAAUCCAAUGCAAGAUGUAAAAUAGUUAUAGAUAUUGUUAUAAAUUAGUAUUAAAAAGUGUUUUUCAUUGUUGAAAUAGAACUUCAACUCCAAUGCUAGAUGCAUUUUGCAUCCAAAUAAUUCCAAAUUUAAGUAACUUUAGUCCCUCUCUCUUAAAUUUUAUUUAAAGUUCACCAUUAUAUAUACCAAUUAUAGUUAAUUGAUGAUGUGUCAUGGAUGCAUAAAUGCAUAUUUGGUUUCAAAUUUAGAAUUAAAAAGUGUUUUUCAUUGUUGAAAUAGAACUUCAACUCCAAUGCUAGAUGCAUUUUGCAUCCAAAUAAUUCCAAAUUUAAGUAACUUUAGUCCCUCUCUCUUAAAUUUUAUUUAAAGUUCACCAUUAUAUAUACCAAUUAUAGUUAAUUGAUGAUGUGUCAUGGAUGCAUAAAUGCAUAUUUGGUUUCAAAUUUAGAACCAAAGAUGCAUAAAUACAUAUUUGGUACGAGUAAAGGCCGUUUGACGUGAUUUAAAAAUAAUGUUUAUUACUUAUAAAUGAGAAGUUAAUUAUAAGUAAAAAGUAACUUUUAUCUUAUGAGUUGGGAUAUAUUUUUUGGUGUUUAUAAUUAAGUGGGUAUAAAAAUUAUUAAUAUAAUAAUAAAUUAUCUUUUAAAAUGAUCUUGUACAUAUUUGUAAAAUCAAGUAAAAAAAAUAAAAUAAAAUUAUCAAAAAAAGUUGAGAUUUCCAACUUCUCAGAUUAUGACUUAUAAGUUGGAAAUGAACUUAUAAAUUCGUCAUACAAAUAAUAGGAACAAAUAAAUUCAAAAACUGGGUUUAUAAGUGGAGUCAAACACAACCUAAGUCGCUUGUGAUUUAUAAGUCAAAAAACUGACUUUUAAAAUACAGUUAAACUGCCUCUACUAUUCAAAUUAGGUUUAAAAUAAUCCAUUGACCUAAUAUAAAUACUAAGUUUCCCUAAUAUAAUUGAAAUUAGCUGUACUAAGCUGAAAUAUGUCAAAUUCAUUCUAUUUUACUAAAGAGCAUGACGUUUCUCCAAUGCAUAAUUGUUUGAAUAACUUAUCUUUUAAUAUUAUAAAGAAAUAAUCCUUUGUACGCGUGAGUUACUUCUUCAAAUAGUUUUUGAUAUUUUUGCACCCCGGGCCUGGGAUCGUCUCAGACUCCUCAAGGGGCGGCUAGCAUCUGAGGGUUUUCAGUAGAUGUUCCCUUUUGCUGUUUUUAUAUCCUUGAUGUCUAAAUACUAAGUACUAAGUAGCAAGCUUUUGUUUUCCUAGGUUUGUCUACAUGCUUGCAUAGUUGCAUGACUUUCUUGGAGUCUCUUUCAUUUCUAUGUAGUUUGGUGCUCUAUGACUGGUUCUAUGCUUUUUUGUAUUGGCUUUGCUAAGUCAAUAUGUAAGAUGUUCCGAGAUUGAUUUAUAAACAGAUGUAUGGCUGGCUUUAUGCUUUUUUGGGUUUUUUUACAAUCGGAAAAUAUUUUUGUAAAAUUUUUGUAAUUUUUGAAGAAAAUUUGCAAAAAUAUAAUUUUACAAAUAAAAAUUGAAACGAUACUAAUUUCUGAAUUCAAUUUUGCAGAAAUACGGAAGUUUCAUUUGAUAAAAAAAAAGAGUUUGUUGACAUGAUUUCAAAUGAAACUUUCGUAUUUCUACAGAAUUGUUAUAUACACAAUCGUAAAUACAUAGAAAUUUAUAUUUGCAAUUGAUUGGAAAAAAGGAAAAAUGAGUGUACAAGGUCAAUGCUCAUAUCACAUAAAAAAUCACAAAAUCAAACAGCAGUUGUUGAACUCACAGUUUGUUAAGCUAACAUGGAGAGAGAGAACAGAAAAGUAAAACUUGUAUUCAACUAACUGAGUCUUACAGAGUGGCUUCACUACAAUAUAUACAAGCAAGCUAACUAAUUCUCUAACAAACUAUAUGCUGUUGACAGGCUGUAUGUACACGUGUAGUAUAGAGAAUAAAUAUUAAUCAUGUAAUGCCAACACCCCCCCGCAAGUUGGAGGGGAGCACACCCAACUUGGACAUAAUGUUCUGAUGUUUAACACCAUUCAGGGCUUUGGUGAACACAUCCGCAAGCUGUAAUGUAGUAGGAGUGUAGGAAAGUGAAAUAAGACCAGAACUUAGUUUUUCACGAACGAAAUGGCAGUCCAAAUCAAUGUGUUUCGUUCGCUCGUGGAAAACUGGGUUCUUAGCUAUGUAUAUUGCAGAUUGACUAUCACACUUCACUGGAAUAGGUGUCACAUCUGGAACAGAAAGUUCAUUUAGAAGACGAGAUAGCCAAGCAAGUUCAACAGUAAUGCGGCGGAUAGAACGGUAUUCAGCUUCUGCUGAAGAUAAGGAAACAGUGUGCUGCUUCUUUGAUUUCCAGGAAAUAAUGCUGUCACCUAGCAUAACAACAAAACCACUCACAGAUUUUCGAGUAUGUGGGCAAGCAGCCCAGUCUGCAUCGCAAUAGGCAGUAAGAUUGUAUACUGGAUUUGAGUUGUAAAAUAAACCUUGACUGGGAGUAAGCUUAAGGUAUCUGAGAACAUGUAAAGCUGCUUCCCAAUGUGGAACUCGAGGAGAACUCAUGAAUUGACUAAGGUGUUGGACAGCAAAAGAUAUAUCAGGACGUGUGUUAGUGAGAAAAUUCAGUUUGCCAACCAACUUUCUGUAUGAAGAGAAGUCAGAAACAGGAUCGCCUUGAUCAUGGAUAAGUUUAAUAGUAGGAUCGAGGGGACUGACUGCAGGUGGAGCAUCGAGACAAUCAAAUUCUUUGAGUAAAUCUUGAGUAAAUUUGGUUUGAGACACAACCAUACCAGAUGAAACAUUCUGAAAUUCAAGGCCUAAGAAAUAACUCAGAUUUCCCAAGUCUUUGAUUUUGAAGGUGUCGUUGAGAAAGGCUUUUACAGCAGUAAUCUCAGUUAAGUCAUCCCCAACCAGUAAGAUAUCGUCAACAUAGACAGCUAGAAAAACAGUAGAAGAUCCUGUUUUCUUGUAGAAAAGUGAGUAGUCAUUCUUGGAAUAAGAAUAUCCCCGUGACAAGAGAGCACAACAAAGUUUGUAAUUCCAAUUUCUGGAUGCUUGACGAAGUCCGUAAAGGGAUUUAAUGAGUUUGCAAACUAAUGUGGAAUCACUAACUUCAAGACCUGGAGGUAAUUGCAUAUAAACAUCUUCAAAUAAAUCGCCAUGUAAGAAGGCGUUGUUCACGUCUAGCUGGUACAUGUGCCAUUGUUUCUUAACUGCAGUAGCAACAAGAGUUCGAAUAGUUGUCAUCUUAACAACUGGAGAAAAAGUUUCAGUAAAAUCAAUACCAGCCUUUUGAGUGAACCCUUUAACAACUAGUCGAGCUUUGUAACGCUCGAUGGAACCAUCAGCAUUAUGUUUUACUUUGAAAACCCAACGACAGGAGAUUGCCUUUUUACCAGGAGGCAAGGGGACUAACUUCCAGGUAUUAUUGGCUUCUAAUGCAGAAAACUCAGCAGCCACAGCCUGCUGCCAUUCUGGGUAGAUCAUUGCUUCUGCAAAAGAUUUAGGCUCUGCAACUGGUAUUUGGAGAGGAAGUGGUGUGGGAAUAGCACAGCAAACAGAUUGAGGAGAAAGCAAUGAAUUAAGAGGAAUACAAUUUGAGGUAAUGGUGCAUGAACACAAAGAAUCUGAACAAGCAUUAUGUACAGAAUGAACAUAAUCUGUUAGAUAGUUUGGCAGUUUUGAAGUUCUGGUUGAUUUUCUGAGAGGUGGUGGCUGUGGUGAAUCUGAGACAGAACUUUCAGAUUGUUGAAAUGAAGAGGAGGACUGUAUAGGUGUAUGAGAGACUGUAGGAGUAGAAGAGUGUAUGGGAGACUGUGUAGAAAGUUGUGAAGGGAUAGACUGUGAUGAUGACUGUGAUGGUGACUCAACAGUAGGAGUAGAUUGAUCAGGAAUAGGAAAGUCAGGGACAGGUAAGGGAAAGAAUGUAGAGGAGUUAACAUCUACAUAUGGAAAAUGGUUUUCAUAGAAAACAGCAUCUCUGGAAAUUAAAAUUUGCUUUGUUUCCAGACUGUAAAAUUUAUAGGCUUUCUUGCCCUGUGGAUAACCAAGAAAGACACAAGUGAUUGCUCUGGGGGUGAAUUUAUCCCUGACAGCAUCUCUGGAGAUUAAAAUUUGCUUUGUUUCCAGACUGUAAAAUUUAUAGGCUUUCUUGCCCUGUGGAUAACCAAGAAAGACACAAGUGAUUGCUCUGGGGGUGAAUUUAUCCCUAUGAGGUUUUGGAGUAGUCACCAGGCUUAAACAACCAAAAGGUUUUAAGUGAUCAAAACUGGGUUUUUCCUUGAGUAAUACUUCAUAAGGGGAAAGAUUAUUUAAAACUCUGGAAGGAAAGAGAUUAAUAAGGUGAGUGGCUGUAAGGAUGCAAUCACCCCAGAACUUAACAGGAAGCUGUGAUUGGAAGAGAAGAGCUCUGGCUGUCUCUAGUAAAUGCUUGUGUUUUCUCUCCACAACUCCAUUUUGUUGUGGAGUAAAAGCACAAGAAGUCUGAUGUUGAAUGCCUUUAGAUUUAAAGAAAUCUUUAGCAGCAUGACUGAGACCAAUUUCUAAAGCAUUAUCAGACCUUACUGAUUGUACAGGUAAUUUGAAUUGUUUCUCAGCUAAGAUAAUGAAUGAUUUAAGGAAGUCAAACGCAGAGCUUUUGUUAGCAAGCAAAUAGGUCCAAGUAGCUCUAGAAAAAUCAUCUACUAUGGUAAGAAAAUAUCUGAAUUUGUUGUAAGUGGGAACCUUGUAUGGGCCCCAAACAUCAACAUGAAUUAAUUGAAAAGGACUUUUACUGUGAAUAUGACUGACAGGAAAUGGCAACCUUUGUUGUCUUGCCUUAGCACAAACAAUACAAGGUACAUCAAGCAUAGAGUCAACAUUACAAAUAUGUAAUGAUUUAAGUUUGUCAAAAGGUAAAUGACCUAAUCUGGUAUGCCACAUCAUGCAUUCUUUAUUAUUACUAGCAAAAGUCUUACUAGUAUUAGCAAUAGAAGCAGAAAUGACAUUUGGAAAGGUGACAGAAGUGUCUGAUGAAGAUGAUGAAGGUGCAGAGCUGGAAUAUGAAAGAAGAUACAAGCCUUUAAAUGCUUUACCAAUUUCCAGUUGUCUCUUCUGUGAAGAGUCCUGCAAAUAACAAAAGUCAUUAGUGAAUUGUAAGGUACAAUUCAGCUGACUUGUUAAUUUGCUCACAGAAAGAAGAUUGAACUGGAACAGUGGAACAUAUAAGACAUUGGCAAGAGUGAUAUCAUGUGAUAUUGGAACAGUGCCAAUGGAAGUGAUGUGUAAAAUGUGACCAUUAGGCAGAGAUAUGGUUAGAGGUGUGUUUAAGAUGGUAAGUGAACUGAAUAAAUGUUUCUGUGAACACAUAUGAUCAUUAGCCCCACUAUCUAUGAUCCAAGUAGUAGAGUCAGAUUGUGACAUACAAGCAACUAUAGAGUCUGAACAGAGAGAGUUACCAGCAAAGUUUGCAUAAGAAGUAUCUUGAUCUGGUGGCUUAGUAGUUUUGAGAAGCUGGAGCAAUUGAGAGUACAAUUCUGGAGUCAUAGCUGGAGCAGAAUUAUUUGAUGAAGUUGUAGAAUCUGCAACUGUGUCAGGAGUAGAAUCAUGUUGGAGGACAUCAGCAUUUGCAGCAAACCUUUUAGUAGACUUUGUGAACUUGAAAUCAGAUGGGAAGCCAUGAACUCUGUAACAUUUGUCAAUAGUGUGCCCUGUCUUCUUGCAGUAUUUGCAAGUAAGAUUAGAUUUCUUGAAUUGACCCUGAGAAGCCUGAGAAGUCUGAGAAGAAAAUGGCUUGGAAUUGACAUGAAGUGAUGUAGAAUCUGUUAUCAGAUUGUGAGAAGAAUGAAUUUCUCGUUGAGCUUCUUCCUGUAGAAGAAGAUUGUACACUUGACUGAUGGAUGGCAGAGGAUUGGACAUCAGAAUAGAACCUCUCAUCACAUUGUAAGAUUCAUUUAGACCCAUAAGGAAUUUGACAACUCGUUGAUUCUGACGCAAAACAGCAUUCUUAGGUGCUGCUUCACAGGUGCAAACAGGAGUGAGGCAAAGAGAAUCAACAUCAUCCCACAAGACUUUCAAUCUAGUGAAGUAAUCAGCAACAGUGCUAUUUCCUUGACGUAUUUCACAAAGAUCCUUUUGCAAAGCAAACAGUUGUGUUCCAUUAGAGACAUUAUAGCGCUCAUCAAGUUCUUUCCACAUUUGAUAAGCCGAAUCAGCACGACUAACACUACGAGCAAUGGUCUUGUCCAAGGCACCAAGAAUCCAUGAAAUUACCAUGUCAUUACAACGAGACCAGCUGGUAAACGAAGGAGAAGAAGGAUCUGGUUCUGGAAUCCUUCCAUCAACAAACCCUAACUUGUUGCGAGCAGAUAAGGCAAUUCUCAUUGAUCUUUUCCAACUACUAAAUCCAGUUCCAUCAAAACAAUCACUCACAAGUUUCAUUCCUGGACUGUCUGAUGAUUGCAAAUGCAGUGGAUUAUCUUGAAGAGUGGUAGAAUUGUGAUCGAAAACAUGAUUGUUUGAAGAACUCAUGAUGUUACAACUCAAAACAAUCAAUCAAUUAAGAAGGGAAGACUAAAUCUCUGAAUUAAUCGCUAUGGUAACGAACAAUCACCAGAGUAAAACGAGCAAGAUUGAACAAUCACGAAUCAACAAAACAAUCUAAAGAUGUUUACAAACAAAUAUGUACAGUAACAGAGAGGAAUAACGAAGUAAAGUGAGAAACGAAAUCACCGGAGAAAUCACCGGAGAUGAACAAGCAGCGGAGAUGAAGGAACAAGCAGCGGAGUUACAGCGGAGAUGAACGGAGAUGAGUAGAUCGGUGUCGCUCUGAUACCAUGUUGAACUCACAGUUUGUUAAGCUAACAUGGAGAGAGAGAACAGAAAAGUAAAACUUGUAUUCAACUAACUGAGUCUUACAGAGUGGCUUCACUACAAUAUAUACAAGCAAGCUAACUAAUUCUCUAACAAACUAUAUGCUGUUGACAGGCUGUAUGUACACGUGUAGUAUAGAGAAUAAAUAUUAAUCAUGUAAUGCCAACAGCAGUAAAUCAGAUCUUCAAAUCUGAGAUUAUAUUUUUGUUAUUUAUACAAAUAUUUGAGAUAUAAUCAAAAAGAAAAUUUGAUAUAUUUUAAUAAUAAAACUUGUUAAACUUGAAAACUAGCGCUUGAUUUCUCUGAAUUUUAAUAAAUUUAUAAUAAUCAAAAAGAAGUUUUAAUAAAUUCUAAAUUUGUCAAACAGAGUUUUAUCGUCUACCUAAACUAUUAAAAGAAUUUAACCAUUUCAUUCUCGUACUAUAAAUAGUAUUCUGCAGGAGCAAAUAAUUCACCAUCUCGACUUUGCAAUUCCACUCAUUGUAUUCUCAAACUCUUCCCUUUUCUUUUUACUAUUCAUAACAUAUAUACAAAAACAGAAGUUGAAAAAAUCAUUAUGGAUCCAACUAGCAUUCCCGUUGUGGGAAAAAUUGUGGAGAAAAUAUCCGAUAUAAUCGUGGCAGCUUUGUUUAGCCAUCUAAACUAUAUGUUUUGCUCCAAGUCUCUUGUUGAAGAUCUCAAAUCUGAGAAUGAAAAACUUGAGAUCGUGGAGAAUGUGAUGUCCAGAAAAGCUGAUGAAGAAAGUAACAACAGCAGAAUAAUGGAGAAGCAUGUGGUGGACUGGAAAAAAGCUGCCAGACAAAACCAGGAGAGUGUUAAAAGCUGUUUGGAAAAAUACGAUAACCGUCCUUCAGGGAGGUGCUUCCGGGGCUCCUUCAAAUUACUAACCACCCGGAACAAAAUCUUUACAAAACUAACCACCUUUUUUUUCACUUCACAAAACUAACCACCCUAAUUCAUAAUCAUCCAGAGGCGAACACCACACAAAAUAUUUUUGCAGGAGGCCCUUCCCAGGGGCGAACAACAAAGAAUUUUCCUUAUAUGUUCGCCCCCCCCCCACGGGCGAACAUAGUAGGGAAAUUUUUUGUUCGUUUGCUCAAAAAUUCUUCACUUUUCAGUUCGUUUAUUUAAUUUAUAAAAAAUUCAAAAAAAGGGAAAAUUGUGAUAAUUUAUAUUAUUAUAUUUUAUAAUAUUAUAUUAUAUAAUGAUAUAAUAUUACAAAAUUAUUUUAUAUUAAAAUAUAAUAUUUUAAUAUUUAAGUUCAUAUUUAAGCUCAUAAAAGAUAAAUAAUAUUGUUAUUGUUUUAUUUUUGUUAAUCCGAAAACGUCAUGUAAUAUCUUGUCCCGAAUGCAUUUGAUCAAACACAGCACUUUUAUUCAUAGAAGAUAUUAAAACAACGAUAACACGACUUAAAUUGAAAAGCAGAAAACAAUCACGACGAAACUACAGACCACUUAAUCGUCCUCGGACGACAUUACACUAUCAGAAUAAUAAUCCGGAGUGGUGACCAAUGCAAGGUAUUGUUGUUCCUUAAACCGGUCCCCUUCUUCCCGAAACAUCCUAGCAUCAUCGUAUAGACUAUGACGAUGCAGUCGCAGAUUCAUGCGAUUCUCCUCUUCUCUCGCUCUGAGAGGGCGGCCGUCCACGCUGCUGCGGCNNNNNNNNNNNNNNNNNNNNNNNNNNNNNNNNNNNNNNNNNNNNNNNNNNNNNNNNNNNNNNNNNNNNNNNNNNNNNNNNNNNNNNNNNNNNNNNNNNNNNNNNNNNNNNNNNNNNNNNNNNNNNNNNNNNNNNNNNNNNNNNNNNNNNNNNNNNNNNNNNNNNNNNNNNNNUCCCGAAAGGACGGGUCCUGGGUGAAGUGGGGGAGGUGUGUGAUCCUCUAAGAAUGACAUGUCAGGACGAUAUACAUAUGACUCUGACAAGUGAUCCUGUGACGGACCCUCAUCGUCCUGUGCCUCAUCAUCCCCUAAUCUGCUCCUUUGGGGCCAUGGAACCCCCUCAGAUGUAGAAGGCUGAAUGAAUGGAGACCAACCACCAGCCUCAAAAGUACCUGCUCCAUCAUGACCUGCAGAAUGUGAGGUGCCUGCAAGGUGUGAGCUACCCACAUGGGUGUAGUAAGUGCCCUCUUCGGGCACUACCGGUGUGACUGGUGGUCGUCCCCUACGCCCUGCAGGAGCCCGUGCCCUAGGUCUGGCAGGGGCCUGUUCCGUAGGUCGACGCUGUACACGAGUAACCAUAUCCUGUAAAAUAUGGUUUGCCAGACCCAAAUCAGGAGCAUAAGGGUCAAUGGCACGCUGCAUAGCGGAUAACUGCUCCUCCUGUUUACAAACAUGUAUAUUUAAGUCAGAACAGUGUACAAAACAAGCUGAGAACAUGUAUAUUUAAGCAUGUAUAUUUAAGCAUGUAUAUUUAAACAUGUAUAUUUAAGCUGUAUAUUUACCAGUUCCGGUGUCGAGAGCUGUGUUCCCUGGAAGGCACCCUCCUGCUGUGGCCAGUGUAAGGGGUUAAUGAUGAUUCGACGUGUGACCCUGUGGAACCAUGGCAGGUAUGAGGCAGUGCAACCCUCGCCAUGCAUAAGUGGAGGAGAUGCGAGGGCACGCUCCAUGCGCGAAUCCCAAAGAUCAACAAAUGGCUCCCUCGCGUACAUCCAAUCAACCUGCUCGUUGUAGUGGUCGUGCGAUUUGCAAAAAUAAAAACUGCAAAUAAAAGUACAUUUGAUAAGUUCGAGGUCUUUAAUAUUCUCAAUCCUGAGUUAUGUCGACAUAAUAGUCGGAAUCAUAAUCUUCAUCAUCAUCUUCAGCAUCAGCGGCCACCGAGGUAUGCUUUUCAUAGGUAAAUCAGCAUAUGGCCUCCAUCGAAACUGUCGGGGUGUCAACGCAUCCAACUCAUAUUGUGUCAUGCGGCUCUGCGCAUGCGGCACCUGACAACGCCUAAGUGGCGCCUUCCACCUACAGUGGAAGUUGGCAUAAGUGCUCAGAGGUUAUACAUGCAACAAAUAUGAAUUGAAGUUAAUCAACAAAAGGAGUGACAACAUACCUCAGCGCCAGCGGGUACUCGAACAAGGGUUGACCCCUGUGCCUAGGCGCUAGUGACGGAAAGCGCUCGUAAAUCCACACCUAGCGGCAAGGUUAGUACAAGUGCACAUGAUGAAUAAAUAAUACAACAAUAAAGACGAGAAAUAAAUAUUACUUAAUUUUAAAUUCGAAAUAAUUAUCUCUAACUAUUUUUACAAAUCUGAUUUUUUUAAUUUAAACUAGUAAUCUAAACUAAAAUUAGCACUACCACUACUAAUCAACAACAAUCAUCACCAACUACUAAUCUAUUUAAUUUAAUGGUGUCAAGUUUACUUUUAAAUUCGAUUUAAUUUAAUUUCAUUAAAUUCAAUAAAAGCUAAAAUUAAAUUGAUUACUGAUGAUUAGGGUAGGGAGAGGAAUAUGGUACACCCUGCAUAAAACCAAACUGCCUCGUCACCCUGUCCGUGUAGCACCACUCGACGUAGGACAUGUACAUCAUGGGGGCGGGAGCCGUCCAACGCAAGUACACAGUGGCCUCCGGGUGAUGCUCUGCAGGUAAAUCAGCAUAUGGCCUCCAUCGAAACUGUCGGGGUGUCAACGCAUCCAACUCAUAUUGUGUCAUGCGGCUCUGCGCAUGCGGCACCUGACAACGCCUAAGUGGCGCCUUCCACCUACAGUGGAAGUUGGCAUAAGUGCUCAGAGGUUAUACAUGCAACAAAUAUGAAUUGAAGUUAAUCAACAAAAGGAGUGACAACAUACCUCAGCGCCAGCGGGUACUCGAACAAGGGUUGACCCCUGUGCCUAGGCGCUAGUGACGGAAAGCGCUCAUAAAUCCACACCUAGCGGCAAGGUUAGUACAAGUGCACAUGAUGAAUAAAUAAUACAACAAUAAAGACGAGAAAUAAAUAUUACUUAAUUUUAAAUUCGAAAUAAUUAUCUCUAACUAUUUUUACAAAUCUGAUUUUUUUAAUUUAAACUAGUAAUCUAAACUAAAAUUAGCACUACCACUACUAAUCAACAACAAUCAUCACCAACUACUAAUCUAUUUAAUUUAAUGGUGUCAAGUUUACUUUUAAAUUCGAUUUAAUUUAAUUUCAUUAAAUUCAAUAAAAGCUAAAAUUAAAUUGAUUAUAUUUAAUCUACUCUUAACGUAAAUAAUACAACAAUCAUCACCAACUACUAAUCUAUUUAAUUUAAUGGUGUCAAGUUUACUUUUAAAUUCGAUUUAAUUUAAUUUCAUUAAAUUCAAUAAAAGCUAAAAUUAAAUUGAUUAUAUUUAAUCUACUCUUAACGUAAAUAAUACAAUAAUCAUCACCAACUACUAAUCUAAACUAAAAUUAUCACUACCACUACUAAUCAACAACAAUCAUCACCAACUACUAAUCUAAACUAAAAUUAUCACUAACAUAAGCUACUACCAAAUACCAACUAACAAAACCCAUUAUAAAUUAUCAAACAAAUUACUAAUCAAGUCUAAUUUUUAAUUCAUUCAAAAUAUGAGAUCUACACUAAUUUUCCCAAUUUUAUAAUUCGAAAAAAUUGUACUAUAUUUAGGAUUUUUUUAUGCAAUAUUUGUUAUUAAAUUCGAAAAUUAUUUUAAUUAAAUCAAAUAAUUAAAACGCUAGUGACGGAAAGCGCUCGUAAAUCCACACCUAGCGGCAAGGUUAGUACAAGUGCAAAUGAUGAAUAAAUAAUGCAACAAUAAAGACGAGAAAGAAAGUUGUGGUUGGUUUAGUAUUACCUGUACCAAUGUGGCGUAGCCACAGAAAUCAGUACAGUUAGCCCUGCUAGAAGAACAUAGCUUCUGGUAUAGGAAGCCAAGAACAGCACUACCCCAGCUAUACCGACGCAGCUGGUCCAUGUCCCUCAUUAACCAUAGAAGGUCAAGCUGCACGCGGUUCCCGCUGCUGUGGGGGAACAAUGAUCCAAUAACGCAUAGUAGGUGCGCCCGAAUAUGGUAGGUAACCUGUACACCAUAACCUAUAUCCUCUGGAUCCAACUGCUCCAACCGCUCACAAGACCCGAAGUUAUCCACAAGCCAUUUGAUCUUUAAACCACCUCGGUUAACAUCGUCCUUGGCUUCUGGUAAUAGCCCAAGAAAUUCGCCUACUAGCACGCGCCUUUCCUCCACGCUGGUACUCGCUCCACGGAGGAUCAGUGGAUCCACCCUCAGGUACGGGUNNNNNNNNNNNNNNNNNNNNNNNNNNNNNNNNNNNNNNNNNNNNNNNNNNNNNNNNNNNNNNNNNNNNNNNNNNNNNNNNNNNNNNNNNNNNNNNNNNNNNNNNNNNNNNNNNNNNNNNNNNNNNNNNNNNNNNNNNNNNNNNNNNNNNNNNNNNNNNNNNNNNNNNNNNNNNNNNNNNNNNNNNNNNNNNNNNNNNNNNNNNNNNNNNNNNNNNNNNNNNNNNNNNNNNNNNNNNNNNNNNNNNNNNNNNNNNNNNNNNNNNNNNNNNNNNNNNNNNNNNNNNNNNNNNNNNNNNNNNNNNNNNNNNNNNNNNNNNNNNNNNNNNNNNNNNNNNNNNNNNNNNNNNNNNNNNNNNNNNNNNNNNNNNNNNNNNNNNNNNNNNNNNNNNNNNNNNNNNNNNNNNNNNNNNNNNNNNNNNNNNNNNNNNNNNNNNNNNNNNNNNNNNNNNNNNNNNNNNNNNNNNNNNNNNNNNNNNNNNNNNNNNNNNNNNNNNNNNNNNNNNNNNNNNNNNNNNNNNNNNNNNNNNNNNNNNNNNNNNNNNNNNNNNNNNNNNNNNNNNNNNNNNNNNNNNNNNNNNNNNNNNNNNNNNNNNNNNNNNNNNNNNNNNNNNNNNNNNNNNNNNNNNNNNNNNNNNNNNNNNNNNNNNNNNNNNNNNNNNNNNNNNNNNNNNNNNNNNNNNNNNNNNNNNNNNNNNNNNNNNNNNNNNNNNNNNNNNNNNNNNNNNNNNNNNNNNNNNNNNNNNNNNNNNNNNNNNNNNNNNNNNNNNNNNNNNNNNNNNNNNNNNNNNNNNNNNNNNNNNNNNNNNNNNNNNNNNNNNNNNNNNNNNNNNNNNNNNNNNNNNNNNNNNNNNNNNNNNNNNNNNNNNNNNNNNNNNNNNNNNNNNNNNNNNNNNNNNNNNNNNNNNNNNNNNNNNNNNNNNNNNNNNNNNNNNNNNNNNNNNNNNNNNNNNNNNNNNNNNNNNNNNNNNNNNNNNNNNNNNNNNNNNNNNNNNNNNNNNNNNNNNNNNNNNNNNNNNNNNNNNNNNNNNNNNNNNNNNNNNNNNNNNNNNNNNNNNNNNNNNNNNNNNNNNNNNNNNNNNNNNNNNNNNNNNNNNNNNNNNNNNNNNNNNNNNNNNNNNNNNNNNNNNNNNNNNNNNNNNNNNNNNNNNNNNNNNNNNNNNNNNNNNNNNNNNNNNNNNNNNNNNNNNNNNNNNNNNNNNNNNNNNNNNNNNNNNNNNNNNNNNNNNNNNNNNNNNNNNNNNNNNNNNNNNNNNNNNNNNNNNNNNNNNNNNNNNNNNNNNNNNNNNNNNNNNNNNNNNNNNNNNNNNNNNNNNNNNNNNNNNNNNNNNNNNNNNNNNNNNNNNNNNNNNNNNNNNNNNNNNNNNNNNNNNNNNNNNNNNNNNNNNNNNNNNNNNNNNNAAUUCCAAAAUCGAAAUAAUUCAAAUUAAAUUCGAAAAUGUGAGAUUGCUUAUUUUUAUUCUAUUUUUUAACGUAAAACACCCAAAUUUAAUCUACUAACCUAAUUUCUAAAUUUAAUCUACUAACCUAAUUUCUAAAAUUAACAUAAUCUACUAACAAAUACCAACUAACAACAUUCAUUAUAAAUCAUCAUACAAAAUUACUAAUCAAGCUUGUCAUAUAAUUUGUAGCUACUAGCAACUAAGAACAAUCAUUAUAAAAUUUAUAAAAAUACAUGCAUGCAAUUUGAUGAGAUUGAGAAUGGUGGAAAAACCUUGAAAAUGGGUGAAAUUGAUUAAUUUGAUCCGGUGAAAGUAGCAAAGCAAGCUCCUUUUUCCCCCCUUUUCUCUGUCCGGAUCACCCUUUCUUCUAGAAAUUGAAGCUUGCAAUGUGUGAAAAUCUGAGAAGAAGCUGUUUGCUGCGGCGAAGAUGAAGAAGAAACAAAGGGGUUGGGGUUUUGAGGGGUAAAAGGGACACGUGGCCGCCCCUGACUGGGCCGGACACGUCAAUGCUUCACAGGUAUGUUCGCCCGUGGCAGGGGCGAACACACUUGCCUGGAGUUCUUCUGUUCGCCCGUAGCAAGAUCUGGGCUUAAAAAAAAAUUUCAGCUGUGUUCGCCCGAGGGGUGUAUGAAUUAGGGUGGUUAGAAAUGUGAAGUGAAAAAAAAGGUGGUUAUAUUUGUAAAGCUUUUGUUCAAGGUGCCUAGUAAUGUGAAGGAGCCGUGCUUCCGGUGUCUCCCAAUUCCUCAUCCCUUCUCCCGUUACAGAUUAGGCAUGGAGGCGGAAUCGAUAGCCAAGACAACAACUGAAUUAGCUACUUCCGGAAAUGGCUACCUGGCUCACCCAAUUGCAUAUCUCCCACUGGAUAUGAAAGCACCAGUAACUGAAUUUCAUGAAUUCAAAUCUAGAGAAGAGGCUUAUCAAAAGCUGGAAGGGCUAGUCACCGAUUCUAGUUCUUCAAUCCUUGGGAUAUACGGAAUUCCAGGAACAGGAAAGACUCGAUUAAUGGAGCGAAUCACGACAGAAGUUGGUAAGAAGGGAACCUUUGACAAGGUCGUACGAGCCAAUGUGAGGAACGCGAAGUUGGAUGUGAUAGGCAUACAACAACAGCUUGCAGGGAAGCUAGGUUGCGACUUUGAAUCUGAAACUGAUGUGGAACGUAGAGCUGGUCAGCUGAGAUCUAGUUUAAGGCAGGGAGGUAAGGUACUCGUCAUACUAGACGACCUAUGGAGUGAAAUUCCUUUAGAUAGAAUCGGAAUUUUGUCUGAAGAUGGUAUGAGUUCCAAGGGCGGUAAGAUUCUGUUGACAUCACGAAGUGAGGAGGUAUGCAAGAGCAACAAAUGCAAGCAUCCAGUCAAAAUACAACCUCUUACAUUUCCCGAAACUUGGGAUAUGUUCAGCAAAACAGUUGGUGCUGAUACAAUCAACUCUUUGCAGAAUAGAUCCCUUGCCUAGGACAUCUGUAAGAGAUGCGGGGGUUUACCACUAGUCGUUCUUGCUAUAGGUAAAGCGCUCAAAUUUAAGCGUCUUGCUUCAUGGAUGGAUGCACUCAAUCAACUUAAAAAUUCCAAUAUUGAAGAAGUUCCUGGAAUAGGUAAAGAAGAGUAUGCGUGUUUAGAGUUGAGUUUUGAUAACUUGGAGCACGACGAUGCAAAGAAAUGUCUCUUGUUGGCUUCUAUGUGCCCUGAAGAUGCUGACAUUCCUACGAGGAUGGUGGUUCAGUUAGCAAGAGGCUCCCAGCUUGUGAAGGGUGAUGAAAUAAAAUUAAGAGUACAUUCAAUGAUAUCUAUACUGCAGUCAGCCUCGUUGUCGCUUCAAGGGAAGGAUGGUGAUCAUAUCAAACUACAUGACAUCAUAAGGGACAUGGCAAGAUCCAUUGCCAAGAAACACCACGGAUUCUUAUUCGCAAGAAGUAGGUCGUUGCCCAAUGAUUCAGCUGAGUACUCUGGUCUGAAAGUUCUGCAUUUAGAUGUAGAGGAGACUCAUUCACGUUUUCCAAGUGAUGUGGAGUGCCCAGACCUGCAUCUACACUGUCACUACAUUCAUCAUCAUCUACAUAUAUUGACCCAACACCGAUGCAGGUAUUCAUAGACUGUUUUACAUAUUCACUCAAUUGAUGAUAACUAUGAUGAUUAGUGUUAUAGAACGUAAAUUGGGACCUUGUAGCACUUUUAAGCGGUUGAGUGAACGUUUAAGUAGAAUUUUGAGGCGCUCAAUAGCGGAUCAAUAAUAUAUAAUUAAAUAUUUAAUUGCAAUAUUAAUUUAGUUAAAACUAAAGUUAUCUAUUGGUUAGAAUUUAAAUUUAUAAUAUUUUUUAUAAUAUAUAUAUAUAUAUAUUUUUAAUUUUUAAUAUGACUAUAGUUAUAUUGUAAAAAUUAUUUUAAAAUUAAAAAAUUAACAAGUCAACAUCAUUUUGACCGCUUAAUGAUCGUUUAAUCAAUUUAUUGUCCGCUUAAUUUUCAAAACCACGUAAUCACUUUCAUACAAAAAAUUAGGCGGCCUCUUAAUGUGACACAACUGACGAUAAAAUAAAAAUAAAUGAUUUUUACGGUUCAUCAAUCAAUGCUAUCGUCUAGUAAUAUUAGCUGUAUCAAUAUUUUAUAAUUGUUAUAAUAUAAUUAUAUAUAAUUUUACUAAAAUAUAAUAUAAACAAUAAGUUAUAAAUCAAGUCAUGUUUUAGUGGAAUUGUAUAAUAUCAAAAAUUAAAUAUAUUUUUGAGUGUAUAAUUUUAAAUAUGAACUAAAAAUAAAAUAAUAUGUGAUACAUAAUAUUUGAAUCGGUUUAGUUGUUUAUAUUAAAAAAUUUAUUUAUUUUAAUCAUGAUCAAUUAUCAGGUUAAAUAAUAUAUAUCUGCUACUUAAUAUAUCAAUAAAAUUAAUUUUAUACAAAAAAAUAAUUAUUGAAAAAGUAUUUCAGUUAAAGAAAAGAUUUUAUCUUGUACAAAUCCCUCUAAAUUAAGUUACAUACGAACUAAACACAAAAUAUUAAAUCUUGUAAUAUUUAUUUAUAAAAUAUUAAAGUUAUAAAUAAAGAGUGCCAGUUAAUAUUUAUUUAUAAAAUAUUAAAGUUAUAAACCGUAUAGAAUUGAUUGGGACGGAGGGAGUAUGAAUUAGACUUGUUCAUUGAAUGACCGUUCAAGGAUUAAUCAAAUAAUUGAAUCAUUAAUCAGAACUAAUUAAAUAUUAUUUAUAAAAUUAUAUAUAAUUUGGAAGUUAAAAUUUAAUAAAAUAACUUAAAUUUAUAUAGGAUAAGUUUUUUUUAUUAUAUAUACAAUUAUCAUCAAGAAAAUUGACCAAAAAUAAAAAAAAUUUAACAAAAUCAUAUAUGUAUAUUUAAGCUUAUUUAAAUUAAAUUAAUUUUAAAAUUUCAAUUUUUUAUUUAUAAUUGAUCAACUUUUGAUCAAUCAGAUUUUUUAAAAAUUAUUUUUCGACACGAUUACUCAAUUCAAUCAAGACAGAAUCGGUCAAUUAAACAUCAACUCUAGAAGUUUAAAGGAACGCCUCCAACACACAACUAUAUUUUCCACAUUCACUUUUAUGAUUUUUUUUAUAUGUCACUUUUGACUUGUGUAUCUAGGUGUAUUGACUUGAUAGUAAAAAAUUAUUAUUUUUAAUUGAUUCUUUUUUGAAUUAAAAUUUUGAUUACGUAUUUUUUUUCAAAAAAGAAAAUUUCAAAAAUAAUAUUUUUAAUUCUCCGGUCAAAAUACUUAAAAGUGUGUGCUAAAAAAUUAAACGUCAUAUAUUAAAAAACAUAGGGAGUAUAUUCAUAAUGUGUUGUUCAAACGAUAUUCAUCCUCGUCCUUUUUAUAAGUCACUUGGACUUUUUACACAUAAUUUUAUAUUUUUACCACUUAUUUAAAAUUAUCUUUUCUAAUUUUUUUCUUAAUUAAAAUAUGAAACUUAUACUUUUAUUAAAAAAAUUAAAAAAUAUUAAUUCGAAGUAUGUGGUCAAAAUCAAAAAAGAAAAGAAGUCAAAGUGACUUAUAUAUAAAAUUAGGAGGAGUACAUGUAAAUAAAAAAAAAAUAAAAAUCACAAUUCUUUACAAAAAUUUCAGGAAUGGAUUGGUCAAGGUCAGCAGCUAUUUGCAAAUCUCAGGUUCUUGGUGCUUGUGGAGUUUAGUUGGCCGGAGAAGUUCUCUCUUGAAUCCUUAGACAAUCUUAAAACUCUUUGGUUCAUCACAUGUGACCUUGUCCAUUUUGGGAAGAGCGAAGUUGGAUUGCUUCCGAAAAAAACUAGAAAAUCUUUGUUUUUGGGAUUGUGAUUUUUCAAAAGAGCUGAAUUUAGCAAAACUAAAUCAUCUUCGCAAGUUAGAGAUCUAUAUCAACACGAGACCUUGGUUGUGGGAAGAUAAAAUCAUUGUGAAGCAGAAUACAAUAUCAAGACUAUCCGAUCUAGAAGAAUUAAGUUUCCCACUGAAUUCUACAUCCGUGAAGAAUGUGCAGAAGAUGGAUCAUUGCCGAUAUUAGACGAGGUCUGUAAAUUGUCACGCUUGACAAGUUUAAAUAUUUGUUCCCGAGAAUCCAAGUCAGGUAAACUUGCAACUAUAUUUUGCAACUUACGUGAAUUCCAUUUGUUUGUUGGUAAAAGACCAGAUUUUUGGUCUCCGGGAGUGUCUUCGAGGACCAAUUCAAUUACAUUGUCCAACCACGAUCUCAUAGAACACUACAAGCCUCUGUUUGAAAAGGCUGAAGAGGUGAUAUUGUGUGGUACUAACUUCACAGGGAGUAGCAUUGAUAUUAGAGACACUAAAGAAUUUAUCAACUUGAAGUACAUGAAGAUUCAGGAUUGCCGGUUCAUUGAGUAUUUGGCUAGGAUGUCACCGGGUAAUAAGAUUGGUGGAAGUCUUCCCCAGUCAAUACCUUUUUCUAACCUUACCAAAUUGAAAAUCAAUAAUUGUCACAGCUUAAAAUACCUCUUCUGCAACUCUGUUGCAAGAUGUCUUAACAAAGUGCAAAAGCUCAAGAUAGAGAAUUGUCAUAUGAUGGAAGAAGUCGUGCUCGGAGAAGGCACAAGUGAUGGAAAUAUGAGUAUGCCCGAAUUACGAAAAAUGACCUUAAUUGAUCUGCCAAGACUCAUACAUUUUUACAAGGAUAACACUUUCUCCGGGCAAAUUCAACCUCUCUUUAAUCAAACGGUAUGCUUGCUUAACCCUUAAAUAUGUUAUAAUUGUAUUCAAGCGAAAUUAGUAAAUUAUAUUUUCAAAUAUUUAAGCUACAUUUAUUUCAUUAAAAAUAAAUCAUUUUGUUUACUUCAUUGAGGCAAUAUAUUUGUUUUCUAGGGAUUAAAGUUCAAAUUGUCCACCUCAAAUAUUAGUAAUUGCCCAUUCUUGAUAUUUAUAUAAUUUUCAUAAACAUAUGAAAUCAUUGGCUUAAUUAACUUUCUACUAAGCUACAUAUGAAAUAUUAGUAAUUGUAAAUAUUGUACAAAAUUGGGAUAGGGCCACUGUGUACAAAACAUGUGAGAAAAUAUGAUUCCCUCCCCUUCGAAAAUAUCUACUUUCUUAUAUAGACUAGUACUCUCUGCACAGAGAUGAGUACUGGAGUAUAUACUCUCAGGAGUUAUACUUAUACAUGGCACUUGGAGUGAGUUAGAAAUAAGAACCGAACCAAAUACCCCUUUCUCUGAUGGUAUGUUUUGGUUGACUAUUUGAGCAGGUUGAAUUCCCUUUAUUGGAAGAGUUGGAUAUUAGUGGUCUGGAAGAUAUAACUGAUAUUUGGGGAGAUAAUAAUGGCAAUGCCUUCUCCUUUUUCGAGCUUAAGAAGUUGAAUGUAUGGAACUGUAAUAAGCUUAAAAAUGUGAUCCCACCUGCCAAGUUGCCUAGUUCACUCACCUCUGAAGUUGACACUCUUGGAAGCAACACAGAUUCGGUCGCUGGCAGAGCUUCUGAAGGACAAGUGAAGGCCAUGAAUUCUCAUAAUCCAAACAAAAAAUUACAAAUUUUUUUGAAGAAAACUGUGCUUGUGUCGAAAUCUGUAUGCAGGAGGACCCCGACGAUAACAGAAGAAAAUUUGAAUGAUCCCUCUGAUAUUUUAGUUCAAGUUCCGUCACAGAACACAAGGGUAUGUCCAUUGGUUGAAAUGAGUUUACAGAAAUUGCCUUGUUUGGAAAAGACAGGGUUGAACUUUGAGGAUCCAUCUGGAGUAGUGAGUACUUACCCAUAUCUUGAAAAAUUAAAUAUAUGUGAAUGCAACAGAUUGGAAAACGUGUUCAUAUCUUCUCGUGAUGCAAAUUUUAAGAAUCUUGAGGACAUGUCCGUCACUAAUUGCAUUAUAAUGAGAGAGAUAAUCGGGGCAGGUGACCAAAAAAUUGCCAAUGGCAUUGUGUUCCCUAAGUUAUGUUCUGUUAAACUAACGGAGUUGUUAAGUUUGACCAGUUUUUGGGGGUACCCGAGUGAAGAAGCUAACAGCCACAAGGUAUAUUUACAUUUACUGCCAAAUGAGUAACAUUGAUAACAUGCAUUUGUUUGUGUGCUUGAGUAUAUAUAUAAAUGCUUAAUUCUCUUAUGUAUGGCUGAUAAAACGCGAUAUUCAGGACCUGAUUUUCAUGUAUAUAUACUUAAAAUCUUCAUCUAGUUAGAGCUCCUGUUUGCUGUAAAAGUUUUUAGGUAAAGAUUUUCUAAAGUUAGGCAUAUGCAUUAUCAUAAAGAAUGACAUUGUUUUGUGUAGGUUGAAUUCCCAAAUUUGAAGAGUUUUGAACUCAGCUGUGGCAAAAUUACUAGCUUGGAAAUGAUAGAGUUUGGCAGCAGAGAUGGCUCUAUUUUUCGGCUGGAGAAGUUAGAUAUAAGUUGUGAUGAGGAGAUACAAAUUCCCAACCAAUGGCUACCUCAUUUGAAUAAUCUGGAAAGAUUGUCACUGAGACGCUGUUGGUCAGAUGAGCUGAAAUCUCUACAUUUCGCAAAAUUGAAGGUGCUCUUACUUCAAGAACUUAGUUGCUCAACUAUUUUCUCAUUCCCAGACUUUGAAAGACUUCAACAGCUCCGAGGAUUAGUGAUAACAAAAUGUAAUUCAUUGGAAGCUAUUGUGGAGGUUGUUGAGGGUGAAGAAGCUUCUGACAUGGAUACGGAGACUGUUGCACUAGUUCAGCUGGAAUCAGUCCAUCUUGAGGGUUUGCCAAAACUCAAAAGUUUUAUGCACACAAAGCCUAAGAAUCUUAUCCCCAGUUUAGAGCAUGUGGAAGUGGAGCCCUCCAUUCUUUUCAUGUGCCCUGUCUUUGGAAAUUUCCAACAGCUCAAAAGGUUACAAGUGAUUGAUUGCAGAUUGUUGGAAGGCAUUGUGGAGGUUGCAAGAGGCUAUGAGACGGAUGACAGGAUUAUCACAUUCCCUAAACUCUCUGACAUUCAUCUUAGAGAUUUGCCAAACCUCCAAAAUUUCAGUCCCACUACAAGCUAUAGUUUCAACAUGCCCAAAUUAUUUCAUUUUCAUAUGUUUCGUUGUCCCCGGGUUGAGAAUAAACCCUUAUUACAAAUAAUCGCACAACGGGUACUUGUUUAUUCCGAUGAGCAUCCACAAGGGAUUGUCAUUCUAAACCUCAACGAGUACACAAGAAGAAUAAAAAACCUCGAAAGCGUCGGGGAAUCAAGUAACAGCCAUCAGGAUGUGGAGAUGGAAACCAUAACAGUUGCAGAAGAGGAAGACAGAGUUGUUGAACAAGAGGCAGAGGUAGUUGUUGUAGGAGAAGAAAGAGGAAUAGAGGAAGAUUCGUAAUUCAAUUGUUUUUCAUCAACUCAGCUUUCUUUUCCUUUCUUUCUCAAAUGUCUCAGACUGUGCAUUGUUUUGUAUUUGUUUUUCAAGGAAAUCUGACGCUGAAUUGUGAGAUGUGAAAAGUGUCAAGCUCUUAGCUAUUUGAAUUACAAGAUCAACAGACAGGCCUUGUCUUGGAGGUUCUUCGACUCAAGUAACACAUUCUUCGUUACUACUUUAUUCACAUAAGUCAUUACUUUUUUUAUCUUUUGAUAGCAACAUAUAAAUCACUGGAUAGGUUUGUCAUUAGGUUAGGUUCUGCGUUUUUAACAGGUAUGACAGAUUUAACAGGUUAGGCUUAUUUCCAGAUUUCCUCCCUUGCAACUUUUUUAGGCCUCCCUGAAAAGUUACGGUCCGAAAUGUGUACUUACUUACUUUGUUGAUGUCUCGAUAUAAGAAUCAAGAAAGUAAGGAACAGAAACUGAGCUCCGAAAAAAUAUUCAAUGAUGAAUGCAAGACAUUCUACUUUGCGGGUAAGGAAACGAAUGCUAAACAAUCUUGUGUCUGUGGAGAGAGUUCAUCUCCAAGUGCUGAUAAUUUAACCGACUUAAAGAUUGUAAGUCAUAUUUUCAUUUCAUACUGCUUUUUUUAAAUUUGUUGUUUUCAUAGAAUUAACGACCUUUUUGAACUUCUAAAAUUAACUAGAAGUGAUAAAUCUAAAUGGAUAUCCUUGCAUUCAACAUUGGGAGAGUGAUAAUUAGUAAUACCCGAGUGGAUAAAAUGCCUGAAUUGUGUGUGUUUGUUGGCAGAUAAACAUGAUUCUGAAUGAAACACUUCGACUCUACCCACCAGAUGUGAUGCUAACGAGGGAGACGAAUAGAACUGUAAAGCUAGGCAACCUCCAAAUUCCAGCUGAAACGCAGCUCUAUUUGCCUAUGACUGCAAUUCAUCAUGACACUGACAUAUGGGGAGCAGAUGCAAAAGAGUUCAAUCCUAUAUGUCCAUGCUCCAAGGCAGUUGAUGACCAUGCAACCUCAAUUUGGGGCACAAAUACUUUUUACUAGAAUUCCCUGAGUGAAGCCUAUAAAACAGACCAGAUUAUUGUUUUCGACUAAUACUUUUGUCUUGUAGAAUAUUAUGACAGGUCAGCUCAAUAUGUAUGUAUAACACAAUAUGAGUGGCAACAAGCCUUCUAAUUAUAUAUUUCAAGAUUUUUUAAAAUGCGAGUUUGAACGGUCUUCUACCAAAGGCACAGGAAAAACGAACCUAAAAAGUCGAUCUUCAUUUAUAUUUUGACCAUGUAAUGUUGAUCUUACAAACUUUGUCAGAUCAUGUGUUGUUGGAUUGAGGUCUAGUACGGUGGUCAUCACUAAAAUUUACUUUAAAGAGAGAUUUUAAAGAAUUCAUCUGUUCCCCAAUGAACUCUGGAAAACCCCUGCCGGGAUUCUGUUAUAUUUAUUGUUGAUGAACAAAUCUUUGUUCUUUUGUACUUGAGGGUUAAAUUUUAUGCGGUGUUUUAGUAUGAUAUCGGUCCUGGUUCUAUGGAGUUGGCGGAAAUUUCUUAUCUUUUUGGAUCUAUAGGGACUCAGCGCUUGUUGGUGACACUCUUUAUUCUAUGGUCUGUGGAAGUUACUCACAUUGAAGAUGGAGGUAUGAGAUCAGUGUUAAAUGGAGGUUGUUUGAUACGGUUCGAAUGCAUAGAGAAUAGGCCCAUAAAUGUCAACAAAAACAGUGACUCCACGUCCACGAGACGGAAGUUCCUGACUAUGAAAAAUUGAUUUUUUUCCCUUUUUCUAUAAAUCUUUGUGAAGGUGGGGAAUCUCUUUUUACUUAAAAAAAUACGGUUGUUUUAUGGUGGGCACACACUAAACACUAAUUUUUAUGAUUUUGGUGCAUUCUUAUUGGUCAUGUAAUCAUAAAUAUGAAUGCCUCCUACAUUUACACCAAAUCCACCAAUUAAAAUCCACUAAACUCAUCAAAUUUAGUGCUUAAUGUGUGCUCUUGGACACACACUAGAAAGAUCCCAAAAAAAUAUACUCCCUCCGUCUCGUUAAACUUUUCCUGUUUCAAAUGUUGGGACUGUUCAUAACAUGAGACAAAUUAUUAAUUUACGUCUAAUCUAUAAGACUAAAUAUAGUCAUGAGUGAUCUUGUUGGAUUCGUAUUUACGAGUACUUUAAUACAGUGAAAUUUUUAUAUUUAAUGCUAAUACGAAAUUAAAGAUAUUAACGAUUAAAAAUGUGCGUUGGCAAACGUGUCCGGUCAAAACAGGAAAAGUAUUUAGAGACGGAGGGAGUACAAAGUUGGUUUGGAUGUUUGGCGAUACCGCCGCGAAGCACGACCUUGACAAUUAGUUUAUUAUAACAUAAAGAUUCUAAUAUUAUUAUAGAAAUGAUACUCCAAUGCUAAAUAUGCUUUUCAUCUUAUAAACACUAUAAAUUAUUAAUCCUUUUUAAUUUAUAGUAAAGUAGCUGUAUAAUGUAUAAAAUAAUUACUAAUGAUUCGAAAGGCACUAAUAAUUCUAAAGGCGCCCGCCAUAGUUGAACUGCCCACUUUAGUCCAGAGAGCAUUCAACAAACAAUACACCAAUGCAUUGAAUAAACUCAGCCGGCUGAUUCCUUUUUCUUAACCUUUAGAAUUAUUAGUGGUUUUUGAAUCAUUAGUAAUUAUUUUAUAAAAGACACCCACCCACUAAUGACCAAUCAAAUACAAAAGACGCCAACUAAUCUUCCACUAAUGUCAGUUUACCAACCCGGGAGCAUCUUCUGCUUAUUUCCUGUCAUCUAAAAAAAAAAAAUAUUUUCAUAAUUCUAAAAUAUAAAAACUAGGAAUUAAUGAUCAGAACAAUUAUAUUGAAUAAUUAUUUAGUUUUACGAAGUUUCCUAUCAGUCUAAUCGCAAUCUCCUUCCCUUGAUAACUGUUAUCGUCUCCCAUUAUCAUUAACUUCAGCCUAGAAACUGGAAAAUAAAAUAUUAAUGAUUAUUCAAUUCUAUUCCAGCCUCUAUCCUAAUUUUACAUACAGAUUUUAUAGUGUGUGCUGAGCACAUAUUAAAAUCCACUUUUUAAUUAGGUGUUGUAUAUUGACUCGCAUCCCUUUAACAAUGAUGGUCAUCUUCCUCUUAAUUAAAAAGUGUACCGACCCUUUUCCAUACUCCUUCCGUCCUAUUUGAUUGUAUACAGUUUCUUUUUUGGAUGUCCCAUCAAUUGUAUACAUUCCAAAAAUGGUAAAUUUUUAUAAUAUAAAAAACUUAACUACACUCACUGCCUUCUUCCACUACACCCGCUUUAUACAUUAAAAAUUAGUAGGUUCCACCAUUUUACUAACCCUACACUUAUUUUACACAUUAAAUAUUAAUGGGUCCCACUAUUUCAUCCACUUUUCUUACUUUCGUGCCACUUCCCAUACGUAUACUAAUUACUGGGACGGAGGGAGUAUAACUCUUGUUAAUAAGCCAGGCAUACGCAAGGGUCAUACGUACCUAACCUUGCUAUCUACUCCAAUAUUCUCAGUCUAAAGACUCCAAACGGAACCUUUCAAACAUAAACUGUUACAUACAGAUAUAAUAUAUAUUUGAUCAUAGUUAAAAAUUCUAAACGCUACUGGUGAGUGGUGAUUGGAGAACUUGUACGAUAAAUACUGCACACUAAGGGAGAAUUCUGAAAUUCUUUUUCCCACUCAUCUUAUUGUCUGAUCAUCAACUCGCUUCUAGCUUUCCUCGCUAUAUUAUUGCCGCCCAGCUCUUUUCUACUUCUCUCUUGUUAGUCAUUGUUGAAGUUUAAGCAAUUUCAUCAGCAUCUUUCCUCUCUUUUCACCAUAAAAAAAAUUUGAAAAAAUCAUGAUAGAUCUGAAUUCCAUUCCAUUUGUAGGACCGUUGGUAGCUAAAAUUUCCGACAAGACAAUAGAAGCACUGUUCCGACAUGUAGAAUAUAUGUUCCGUUACAAGGGUCUUGUUAAGGAUCUGAAAUCUGAAAAUGAUAAACUUCUGGCUGAGGAGACGAAGAUGUCCAGAAAAGCUGAGCAAGAAAGUAACAAUGGUAGAAUACUGGAGAAGUAUGUGGUGGAGUGGCAGAAAGAAGUCCAAGAAGAGCAGGAGAAAGUCACGAGGUGUUUGCAAGAAAAUGAGAAGCUAAAGAGCCAACAGCAAAACUGUCCUCGCUACAUCCGCUAUAUCCCACUUCCUCAUCCCAUCUCUCGUUAUAGAUUAGGCAAGGAGGCGGCCAAGGUGGCCAAGAGCACAACUGAGCUUACUGCAACCGGAAGUCACCACCUGGCAAGUCAAAUUGCAUAUCUUCCUCUGGAUAUGAAUGUACCUGUAACUGCAUUUCAAGAGUUCAAAUCUAGAGAAAAGGCUUAUGAAAAGCUGGAGGAGCUAGUGACAGAUGGAAGCUCUUCAAUCCUUGGGAUAUAUGGAAUUGGAGGAGCCGGGAAGACUCGAUUAAUGGAGCGAAUCACCACAGAAGCUGGUAAGAAGGGAACCUUUAACAAGGUCGUCCGAGCCAAUGUGGGGAAUGAGAAAUUGGAGAACAAGACCAUCAUAAGCAUACAAAACCAGAUUGCAGGUAAUUUAGGUUGCGUUUUUGAACGUCAAGAUGAUGUGGGACAUAGAGCUGGUCAGCUGAGAUCUAGUUUAAAGCAGGGGGGUAAGAUACUCAUCAUCUUAGAUGAUGUAUGGAGUAGGAUACCUUUAGGUACUAUCGGAAUCAUGUCUGCAGAUGGUAUGAGUUCCAAAGGAGGUAAGAUUCUUUUGACGACACGAGAUCACGAGGUAUGCCAGCGUAACGACUGCGGGGAUCUAGUCAAAGUAGAACCUCUUACACCUGCCGAAGCUUGGGAUAUGUUCAGUGAAACAGUUGGUGCUAAGAUAAUCGACUCUCUGCAGAAUAUAUCCGUUGCCGAAGACAUCUGUAAGAGAUGCGGGGGUUUACCACUAGUCAUUCUUGCUGUAGGUAACGCCCUCAAAUUUAAGCCUCUUGAUUCAUGGAAGGAUGCACGCAAUCAACUUAAAUUUUUCAAAAUUCAAGAACUUCCUGGAAUAAGCAAAGACGUGUAUGCGUGUUUAAAGUGGAGUUUUGAUAACUUGGUGGACGAUGCGAAGGCAUGUCUCUUGUUGGCUUCUAUAUUCCCUGAAGAUGCUCACAUUUAUGUUAGCGAGUUGGUUGAGUUAGCAAGAGGCUCCCAGCUUAUAAAGGCUGAUGAUAUAAGAACAAGAGUAUAUUCAAUGAUUUAUAUUCUCAAGUCAGCCUCGUUGGUGCUUCAAGUCCGUUGGGGUAUUAUUGAACGUAUCAAACUACAUGACAUAAUAAGGGACAUGGCAAGAUCCAUUGCUACCAAAGACUACGCAUUCUUAUUCGCAACAAGUAGCUCGUUGCCCAAGCAUCCUGCUGAUUACUCCGGUCUGAAAGUUCUGCAUAUAGAUGUCGAGGAGGAGACUAGUCUACGUUUUCCAAGUAAUGUAAAGUGCCCAGAACUGCAUACACUGUCGCUAUAUUCAUCAUCAUGGACAUCAUCAUGGAAAACACCACGUACACUGAUACAGCAGGUAUUCAAAAACUGUUUUACAUAUUCGCUCAAUUUUUGAUUUAUGAUAACUAUAUAUCUGAUGAUAGAAUAAAAAUAAGUGAUUUGACGACAGAUAAGUUUAAACGAUAUGAAUUGUUAUGAAACAGGAUUUAUGAGUCACAUUUCAUUAAUUAAUGCUAUCGUCUAAUAUAAGCGUUAUUUAACUUUUAUAAUUAUUAUAUUAUAAUUGCUAUAAAAUUUUACUAAAUUCUGAUGUAAAUAAUAAAUUAAAUAUUGAGUCAUACAUUAAUCAAGAUUGUGGAAUUGUAUAAUAUCAAAAAUUAAUUAUAUUUUAGGUGUCUAAUUUUUAAUAUAAAUUAAAUUAAGUAAUAUGUGAUUUAUAAUACAUGAACCCGAUCCACUUGUUUAUUCUAAUGAAAAAAUAUUUAUUUUGAUCUUGAUUAAUUAACGAGAUAAAUAAAAAUAUAUACUAAUUUAAAUAUAUUAAUUAAAUUAAUUUUUUUAUUUAUGCUAAAAGAUUAAUUAUUUAAAAAGUAUUCCAGUUAAAGGGAAAAUUUUAUUCUUGUACAAAUACCUUUAAAAUAAAGUUACAUAUGAACUAAAUACAAAAUAUUAAAGUCUAUAAUAUAUAUUUAAAAUAUGAAAAUUAUAAGUAAAUAUUAAAAAUUUGUACAGGGAAAUACUCAGUUUAAAAGGAAGGCCUCCAACAAUUGACAAAGGCCAGGUAUUUUGGACAUUCUCAAACAUACUCGUAUGAUGUUUUUUGAACAAAAAGAACAAUCUUAUAAUAACAUAUUAUUAGACAGUGUUAUUUGAUUUGAAAAUUAUAUAUGAUUGAAUUUUUGGAAUGAUAUAUAUUUAAUAUCCCGUGAAAACUUCUCACUGUUAAUAUUGUUGUACUGAUUUUUACAAAGAUGACUUAUAAUACAUAUCAUAAAAAAGUUUAGUUUGAUAACUAAAAAAUUUAUGAAUUUUUUAUAGUCUUCUACUAUAAAUUUGAAAUCUUUUAUAUUUAUUUUCGAUUAUCGGAUAACUCUCUCUCGUAGGCUUUUGUUUAUCAAUGUUUCUAGAUUUCUUAAUCAUUCUCUCACAGUAGUAUGGAUCGAUGAUUAUGUAUUUUAUAUGUAUUAUAGUUUUAAAAAUUUUGUUUAGCCAAAUCUUUAAUUUAUCCUCAGUUUUCAUGGUACCUCUGUGCAUGAGGUAUUUACCUCAAAACAAAUUUGAUUAAAAAUAGAUCUAAUUUUAUUGUUUGGUUCAAAUAGGUAUUUUAAAUUGUUUAUUUUGCAUAUAGCUAAGUUUAGAGUGUUGUUUAUAAUUGGGUGCCGGCCCACUCUAAAUUUAUUUAUAUUAUACAUAUUCUACAUCCUCUUUUAUAUCAAAUUGUGCAUGUCUUUUAUUAUUUCAAUUCACCAACUAUCGGAUAAUUUAAUACAAAGUAGAUGUAAGGGAAUGCAUAAAUCACCACCCUUGUUAUUUUUAUAAGAAAAUAAUACAAAAAAUAAAUAUGAUUACUCUAAUGUUAAAUUUGAAGAACAUGUACGAGUUCUUUAAAAUUUAGUUGUUGUAUUUAAGAGCAUUCACAUCCGGACCCAACCCUCAAUCCCAAAAAUUUACUAAAAAUAUUAAUUCCUCAAAAAAAUUACAAAUUUUUAAAAGUUUCUUACAUCCCAUUCCCUAUAUUCAAUCCCUAUUCUCAUAGAAGUAUAAGAUAAGAAUUGAUAUUUAAUAAAAUUAUAAUGAAAUGAUAAUGAAAUGGAGGAUGAAUAAUGUAUGAGGUACAAAUAGUGAAACUCCAAAUAUGGGGAUUUAUUUCUAGUCCCAAAACCAAACCUUAUUUUGGGAUCUGAAUGUAGACUACGUUUUUACAAAAAAUAGUAGAUUUCUUUAAAAUAAAUUAUGGAGAUGCGGUUGGCUUUGGGGGUUAGGGAUGUGAAUGCUUGAUAUGAUUGAUCCAAAAUUUUGUUGUGGAAUAAUUGAUAUGGUUGAUCCAAAAUUUAGUUUUGGAAUGAUUGAUAUGAUGAUUGCUCCAAAAUUUAGUUUUGAAAAAAUUAGUACUAUUGAUUUAAAAUUUAGAUAUUAGCUUUAAUUGAUUAAAAAUGAAUUAAAUUUAACCGGAAGUUAGUUAAACUCAAUAAAAGACAAGAUCCAACCAAUAAAUUUGAUUGGUCUAAAAUUUAAUUAUGAUAGUUUAAAAUUAUUUCAAAAAUGGGUCUAAAAUUUAGGUGUGAAGAUUAAAAAUAAAUCAAAAUUCACGGUUAUAUAUCUCAAAAGAUGAAGACUUAACAUUAUUGAUCUAAAUUUAACCGUCAUAUCAAAUUAUCUCAAAAAUCACUAAUCGGUUAAGUCAAUGAUUCAGGAGACUCGUGUCUUUGUAAUUAUCUUCCUAUAAUUUUGAUAUGAAUAAAAUGAUUAUUUAUUCUUUUUUUAAGCAACAUAUACAACACAUAACACAUUUCAUCCUUAUUAUUGGUUAGCUUCCUGAAAAAGCGAAUCAGCGUGAUCUUUGCAAAUAUGAUAACUACACAGUUAUAAUAUUUGUUCGUAAAAUUUAUACCUUUAAACAUUUGAUUAGACGUAUAUGUGAGGUAGAGUUACCUAUCAAUCCUUAUAUUUGUUCCCAUAUUAUUAUUUUAAUAAUAAAUUUGAGAGACAAAAUAGAAAAUAGACAAAGACCAAGAAAGAAGAGGAGAGAUGAAUUUUUUAUUCAUAAAUAUUAAAUAUGUAAUGACCAAUAAUUAUUUAAAAAUAGAUAAUGGAUACCGUAUCUAAAUAUGAGUUUAAGAACUUAUUUAACUAAUCUAUUGGACUCUUUAAGAUCUCAUCCUCUUCUGUAAGGCCAUAAGUAGUCAUAUUUGUCAAAGAAAAUAAAAAAGCUGUUAUUUUGAAAAUUCUAAUUAUGUCUGCACUUGAUGCAUGUUAUAUGCUGGUGAAAUAAAACACAAAAAAUAACGAUUCUUGCUUAAAUUUCAGGACUGGAUCAACGGUAAAAUAUUUACAAAUCUCAUAUUUCUGGUGCUUGUGGGGUUUUCCUGGCCAAAGAAAUUGUCUCUCAAAUCAUUGGGUGAACUUAAAACGCUUUGGUUCGACAAUUGUGACCUAGAGUUCUUUGGUGAGACGGAUGUUAAAAUUCUUCCAGAGGGACUGGAAAAUCUUUGUAUUUGGGGGUCUCGUAUGCCAAAACAGUUGAAUGUACCAGAACUGAGCCAUCUUCGAAAGCUAGACAUCUAUUCCAGUUCCGGAGGUAGAUUAUGUAUGGUGCCAAAUACCAUAUCAAGACUAUCCACUUUAGAAGAAUUACGUUUGCCAUCUAAUUUCUACAUCAAUGAAGAAUGUGCAGAAGGUGGAUCAUUGUCGGUAUUGGACGAGAUUAGUGAAUUGCCACUGACAAGUUUACAUAUUCGUUCCCGAGUAUCCAAGUCAAGUAAACUUGCAACUAUGUUUUCCAACUUACGUGAAUUCCAUUUGUUUGUUGGUGAGCCGCCGGCUAAUAAUCGGUCUAUGAAUCUGUCACCUGUUUCAGUGACGAAGUCAAUUAAGUUGGUCAACCACGAUCUUGUAGAGGGCUACCAGACUCUAUUUCAGAAGGCUGAAGAGGUGAUAUUGUAUGAGACUGAUUUCCCAGGGAGUAGCAUUGGGAUCAGAGACACUAAAGAAUUUAUCAACUUAAGGUACAUGCAAAUUGAAAAUUGCAAGGCCAUGGAGUAUCUAGCAAGGAUUUCAUCACCACAGGGUGAGAUUCAGGAAAGUCUUCAGCGAUCAACACCUUUUUCUAACCUGAUCAAAUUGGAAAUUAAGUGUUGUCUCAGCCUAAAAUACCUCUUCUGCGACUCUAUUGCAAGAUGUCUCCUCCUACUGGAAGAGCUCCACAUAAGGGACUGUCCUUUAAUGGAAGAAGUUGUACGUGAGGAGGGCAAAAGUGAUGGAAAUAUCAUUAACAUGUCCAAAUUACGAAAAAUGAGCUUAAUUAAAUUGCCAAGACUCGUACAUUUUUACAAGGACAAGAUUCCCUAUGCGCAAAUUCAACCUCUGUUUGACAGAAUGGUAUGCUUUGCUUACCCCUCAUCAAUCAUCAUCAUCAUAUUAAUAAUAUUACUUACACUGUGUAAUGAUUUCAGGCAAAGUCAAUAAACUAUUUUGCACAUAAUUGAUUCUUUUUGGUUACUUCUUUAUGUCAAUAUAUUUGUUUUAAGGGAUUAAAGUUCGGAACUUGUAAUCUUUACAUUGUAUCAUGUACUCUCACAAGUAAUAAUGGCACUUGGAGUAAACUUUGGAAAUAAGAACCUAAACAAACACCCUCGGAACUUGUAAUCUUUACAUUGUAUCAUGUACUCUCACAAGUAAUAAUGGCACUUGGAGUAAACUUUGGAAAUAAGAACCUAAACAAACACCCGUCACGUAUAAAAAAAUAUGUUUACGCUGUUCAUGUAAUAUAAUUUUAAGAUUUUUAAUACAGUAGUAACUUUUUAUUACAAGUAGCACUUGGUUACAGUGUCCUUUCUGUUCUCUGAUGGUAUGCCUUUCACUGACUAUUUGAGCAGGUUGCAUUCCCUUCCUUGGAAAUGUUGGAUAUCAGUGGUUUGGAAGACAUAACUGACAUUUGGGGAGAUAAUCAUGACAAUGCUUCCUCCUUUUCCCAACUGAAGACCCUGAAAGUAAAAUUCUGUAAUAAGCUUAAAAAUGUGAUCCCACCUGCCACGUUGCGUAGUUCACUCACCUCUGAAGUUGACACUCAUGGAAGCCACACAGAUUUGGUUACUGGCAGAGCUCCCGAAGGACUUGUGAAGGCCGUGGUUUCUCAUAAUCCAUACAAAAAAUUACAAAUUUUUUUGAAGAAAACUGUACGUGCGUCGAGAUCUGUAUGCAGGAGGACCCCCACAAUAACAGAAGAAAAUUUGAAUGAUCCCUCUGAUAUUUCAGUUCAAGUUCCGUCCCAAAACACAAAGGUAUGUCCAUUGGUUCAAAUGAGUCUAGAAUGGUUGCCUUGUUUGGAAAAGACAGGGUUGAACUUUGAGGACCAAUCCGGAGCAGUGAGUUUGUACCCGGAUCUUAAAAAGUUAAAUAUAAAUAUAUGCGAAAGAUUGGAAAACGUGUCCAUCAUACCUUGUACCAACGGACAUUUGAUGAACCUUGAGGAAAUGUCCGUGAGGCAAUGCAUUACGAUGAGAGAGAUAAUUGGGGCAGGACCGGCAGGUAAACACAAAAUGGCCAAUGGCAUUGUGUUCCAUAAGUUGUGUUCUCUUCAACUAAGUGACUUGCCAAGUUUGACCAGUUUUUGGGGGGAGGCCAGUGGGGAAGCCAACAGCCACAAGGUAUAUUUAUAUUUAAUUGCCAAAUGAAAAAAAUUUAAGAUUCAUAACAUGCAUCUGUUUUUUUUUUCGCGCGAGAGUGAGAGUAUAGAUCUAUUAUUGCUUUUAUAUCAAACUGACCACUCGUUUCGUCAAAAUUUCUCACUUGACCCAUCCAUUUAAUUUCAAACUCAAGCCACUAUAAACCAAAUACUAUAUAUAUUAUUUUACCCACAUUAUUAUUCAUAUUUCUUCACUUAAUCAUUUAUCAAAAAUCAAAUGUUUGUUUUUUUUACCACAAAAUCACUUCGAGUACUUUCAUAAUUGUCUCUAGUAUAUAUCAAAAUAAUUUGGAAAUUUUUAAAACAACAUUACUAUGUAGUUUAAAAAAUAUAAAGUUAUAAAUAUAUAAUUAUAUGAUCACCUUAGCUAUGUUAUUUUAAAAAUUCCCAAAUUAUUUUGAUAAAUACUAGAGACAGUCAUGAAAAUACUCGAAGUUGUUUUGUAGUAAAAAAACAAACGAUUGAUUUUUGAUAAAUGAUUAAGUGAAGAAAUAUGAAUAAUGAUAUGGGUAAAAUGAUAUAUAUUUGGUUUAUAAUGACUUAAAUGAGUCCGAAAUUAAAUGUGGGUCAAAUGAGAAAUUUUGACGAAAUGAGUGGUCAGUUUGAUAUAAAACCCGAUCUAUUACUGUAUCAAUUUAACAUUUCUGAGGUAAAGACGUUAAAGUGAGGAAGGCGCAUUCACCGAGUCAGAUUGACAUAAUGUAUGGGAUUGUUUUUUGUAGGUUGAAUUCCCAAACUUGAAGAAGCUUCAACUCCGUUGUGGGGAAAAUACUAGCUUACUGGAAAUGAUAGAGUCAGGCAGAGAUGGUUCUACUUUUCAGCUGGAGAACUUAGCAAUAAGCUGUGGUAAGGAGAUACAAAUUCCUAACCGAUGGCUACUUCAAUUAGAUAAUCUGGAAAGCUUGUCACUGGAACGCUGUUGGUCAGAUGAGCUGAAAUCUCUACGUUUCCAGAGAUUGAAUAAACUCACACUUGGUCAACUUAGUUGCUCUAGUAUUUUCUCAUUCCCAGACUUUGAAAGACUUCA
rnacentral:lncRNA from 1 species